CCAGGGCAAUGCGAGCUCGGGCAAGAUCACCCACUGCCCCGCCGGCUGCUACCCGUAUGCCCUCCACACUGCCCUGGCCAGGUAUAUGCUGCGCCAGACUUCGAGAAGCCUUCCCUGCUGCUGCCUCGCCAACUAUACACAGGUCUGUGCGUUGCCCCCGAAAAAUCCUUUCAGGAAGCCCCGAUUCUGUGCCUCAGGGGUCUCGAUGGGUGUGAAAAGCUCCCCCAGCAUCUCCUGUAGAUAAUCAUUAGACACACUUUGAGGGUUCAAAUCAUUAUACAGACAGGAACUCUCCAGAUUUUUUUUUUAUUCCAUCACUAGACUGAAGGAGGGUAAGGGAGGUGCAACAGGGCUCAGCUCAGCAGAGCUCAAAGCAUCUAUGACAAGCAUGACAUUUCACUUCAAUAGUGACCAUGGAGCUGAACCUGAGGAUCAUGACAUGUCCGUUGGCACAGAAACAAGCCAGGCACACGCUGUUGGAGACGGUCACCACAUCGGCACGCAGCACGAAUGAUGACUCCGUGAUGUUGUGCACAUACAGGCAG